GACGAACGCUGGCGGCGUGCUUAACACAUGCAAGUCGAACGGAAAGGCCCUGCUUGCAGGGUACUCGAGUGGCGAACGGGUGAGUAACACGUGGGUGAUCUGCCCUGCACUUCGGGAUAAGCCUGGGAAACUGGGUCUAAUACCGGAUAGGAGCCAUCUUUAGUGUGAUGGUUGGAAAGUUUUUUCGGUGUAGGAUGAGCUCGCGGCCUAUCAGCUUGUUGGUGGGGUAAUGGCCUACCAAGGCGGCGACGGGUAGCCGGCCUGGGAGGGUGGACGGCCACAAUGGGACUGAGAUACGGCCCAGACUCCCACGGGGGGCAGCAGGGGGGAAUAUUGCACAAUGGGCGCAAGGCUGAUGCAGCGACGCCGCGUGGGGGAUGACGGCCUUCGGGUUGUAAACUCCUUUCGCUAGGGACGAAGCUUUUUGUGACGGUACCUAGAUAAGAAGCACCGGCUAACUACGUG
rnacentral:rRNA from 1 species